UACGGAGGGUGCAAGCGUUAUCCGGAUUCACUGGGUUUAAAGGGUGUGUAGGCGGGUGUUUAAGUCAGUGGUGAAAUCUCCAGGCUCAACCUGGAAACUGCCAUUGAUACUAUUCAUCUUGAAUUCUGUUGAGGUGGGCGGAAUAUAUCAUGUAGCGGUGAAAUGCUUAGAUAUGAUAUAGAACACCGAUUGCGAAGGCAGCUCACUAAACGCGAUUGACGCUGAGGCACGAAA
rnacentral:rRNA from 1 species